rnacentral:rRNA from 1 species
GACGAACCGUGCGAACGUUGUUCGGAAUUACUGGGCGUAAAGGGCGCGUAGGCGGCCUUCUAAGUCGAACGUGAAAUCCCUGGGCUCAACCCAGGAACUGCGUCCGAUACUGGAAGGCUUGAAUCCGGGAGAGGGAUGCGGAAUUCCAGGUGUAGCGGUGAAAUGCGUAGAUAUCUGGAGGAACACCGGUGGCGAAGGCGGCAUCCUGGACCGGUAUUGACGCUGAGGCGCGAAAGCCAGGGGAGCAAACGGG